CACUUUUUGAUUGGGUUGUUUGUUUGUUUUUUUUACUGUUGAAUUGUAUGAGCUGUUUAUUUUGGAAAUUAAUCCCUUGCCAGUUGCAUUGUUUGCAAAUAUUUUUGUCCCAUUCCAUAGGUUGUCUUUUUAUUUGUUUAUGAUUUCCUUUACUGUGCAAAAGCACUUAGUUUAAUCAGGUCCAAUUCAUUCGGUUUUGCUUUUAUUUCCAUCACUCUAGGAGACAGAUCUAAAAAAUUGCUACAAUUUCUGUCAAAAAUUGUUCUGCCAAUGUUUUCCUCUAGGAGUUUUAGAGUAUCUGAUCUUUCAUCUAUGUCUUUAAUCCAUUUUGAGUUUAUUUUUGUAUACAGUGUUAGAGAAUGAUCUAACUUCAUUUUUUUACAUGUAGCUGUCAAGUUUCCCAGCACCUCUUAUUGAAGAGACUGUCUUUUCUUCAUUGUAUACUCUUGCUUCCUUUGUUGUAGGUAACUUGACCAUAGGUACAUGGGUUUAUUUUUGGGAUAUCUAUCCUAUUCCACUGAUUUAUAUGUCUGUUUUUGUGGUAGUACCAUACUGUUUUCAUGACUGUAGCUUUGUAGUAUAGCCCAAAGUCUGGAAGUCUGAUUCCUCCUCUCUAUUAGUCUUUCUCAAGAUUGUUUUGGGUAUGAAACUAUUGGUUUUUAAGGUAACUCUCACAUCCCUAGACAGGCAACAAAAGCCAGGUAGAAAUUGUAAAGUACAAAUUUAUCUUUAGUUUUUUUUCCCUAUUUCAUAUUUAAGUCUCUUUAAAUUUCAUACAAAUUAACAUAUUCACUUGUUAUAGUAAUGCCUCACAUUCACAGAUGGUAGUUUCCAUCGUUCAGCAGAGAAAUCAAAUGUUUUUUUUUGCCAUUUCUUGGGCUGCUUCCACGGCAUAUGGAGUUUCCCAGGCUAGGGAUCUAAUUGGAGCUGUAGCCACCUGCCUACGCCAGAGCCACAGCAACAUGGGAUCUGAGCCGCGUCUGCAAACUACACCACAGCUCACGGCAACGCUGGAUCCUUAAUCCACUGGGCAAGGCCAGGGACCGAACCUGCAACCUCAUGGUUCCUAGUUGGAUUUGUUAACCACUGUGCCAUGAUGGGAACUCCAAGAGAAAUUAAAUGUUGAAACUCUACUAUAUCUCCUUUCUCUGUGUUCCAUAGUACUUUGAACAUAUCUUUAUUAUAGCACUUCUCAUAAUAAUGUUAAUUAUGUGAUCAUAUCCUCACCCCACUAGAUAGGAACUAGGUUGUAUUUAUUUUAUAUUCCUAGUACCUCAGACAGUGUCUCCUGUCUGGUAGAUGCUCAGUUUUUGUUGUUGUUGAAUUAGUAAAUCUGUAUUCUAGUCUCAGUGGAGAAUGUGUGCUUGUAUGAUAAAUUUUAAUUGUCCUUGAAUUAUUAUUUAUUUUUUCUGUAUUUUUAAAAUUAAAGUAUAAUUGAUUUGCAAUGGUGUGCCAGUUUCUGCUGUACAGCAAAGUGACCCAGUCAUACAGGCAAAACAUUCUCUGAUAUGAGCUUUACAAAUGUUUUCUUAGGUCAGACUCCCUAGGCAAUAGAAAUAAAAAUGAAAAUAAACAAAUAGAACCUAAUCAAACUUACAAGCUUUUUCACAGGAAAGGAAACCAUAAACAAAACAAAAAGAUAACCUAUAGGAUAGGCAAAAAUGGUUGCAAAAAGAUGUAAACAACAAGGGCUUAAUCUCCAAAAUAUACGCACAACUUGUGCAACUCAACAACAACAACAAAACAACCCAAUUGAAAAAGGGGCAGAAGACCUAAAUAGACAUUUUCCCAAAGAAGAUAUUAUUCAUUUUUUAAAUUAAUAAAUUUAUUUUACAACAGUUUUGGAGUCACAGCAAAAUUGAGUGUUCUCAUAUAUGCUCUACCCCUGACAUGCGCAAUAUCUCUGUACAAUAGUGAUGCAUUUGUUUCAAUCUAUGAACCUACAGUGAUAUAUAUCAUUAUCACCCAAAGACCACAGUUAUUCUUAGGGUUUGCUUUUGGUGCUAUACAUUUUAUGGAUUUUGACAAAUGUAUAAUGACAUGUAUUCAUCAUUGCAGUUUAUACAGAAUAGUUUUAUUGCCCUAAAAAUUCUCUGUGGUUUGCUACUCAUCUCUCUCUUUCUUCCCUAACCCCUGGCAACCACUGAUAUUUUUUACCAUGUCUAAAAUUUUGCUUUUUUCAGAAUAUCAUGAAGUUGGAAUCAUGCAUAUAUGGCCUGGUUGGAUUGGCUUCUUUUACUUAAUAAUAUGCAUUUAAGUUUCCUCCGUGUCUCUUCAUAUUUUAUUAGCUCAUUUCUUUUCAGUGCUGAAUAAUAUUCCUGUCUAGAUGUCCCAUGUUUUUUUUAAUCUGUUCAAAAGAAACAGAAGAAAAUCUUGAUUGCUUCUAAGUUUUAGCUAUUACAAAUAAAGCUUUGAUAAAACAUCUGUGUGAAAGUUUUUGUGUAGACUGUUUUCAACUUGCAGGGGUAAGUGCCAAGGACUAUGAUUGCUGGAUUGCGUGGUAGGAUUGUUUAGUAAGAAAUUCAAACUGUCUUUCAAAGUGGAUGUACUAUUUUGCACUUUCAUCAAUAAUAUUGUGUACAUCUUCACCAGGAUUUGUUGUUGCUAGUGUUUUGGAUUUGGGUCAUUGUAAUAUGUGUGUAUUGGUAUCUUGUUUUAAUUUCUGUUUCUCUGAUGACAUGUGAUGUUGAACAUCUUUUGAUUUUCUUACUUGCCUUCUGUGUAUCUUCUUUGUUGAGAUGUUUGUUCAGAUUUUUUUUUUUUUUUUUUUUGUCGUUUGUCUUUUUAGGGCUGCACCUGCCGCACAUGGAAGUUCCCAGGCUAGGGGUCUAAUUGGAGCUGUUGCUGCUGGCCUACACCAGAGCCACAGCAACACUAGAUUUGAGCCACCUCUGCAACCUACACCACAGCUCACAGCAAUGCUGGAUCCUUAACCCACUGGGCAAGGCCAGGAAUGGAACCCGCAACCUCAUGCCUGGUUCCUAGUUGGAUGCAUUUCCACUGCGCCACUACGGGAACUCCUGUUCAGAUCUUUUGAUCAUUUUAAAAUUGAGUUGUUUUCUUAUUGCUUAGUUUUAAGAGUUCUGUGUAUAUUUUGGAUAAUGGCACUUUAUCAGAUGUGUUCUCUGCAAAUAUUUUCUCCCAGGCUGCAGUUAUCUUCUUAUGCUCUUGGUAGUCUUUCACAGAAUCAAAGUUUUUAACUUUAAUGAAGUUCAGCUUAUGACUUAUUUCUUUCUUGGACUGUACAUUUGAUGUUGCAUCUAAAAUAUCAUCACCAUAUCAAAGGCCAUCUAGAUUUUCUCCUCAGUUAUCUUCUAGGAAUUUUAUAAUGUUGUAUUUUAUAUGUAGUUGUAUAAUCCACUGCUUUUGCUACGUCCCACAAAUUUUGAUAAGUUGUGCUUUCAUUUGCAUUUAGUUUAAAAUAUUUUUAAACUUCUAUUGAGACUUCUUCUUUAACUCAUGUAAUAUUUAGAAGUAUGUUGUUUAAUAGUCACAUAUUCUAGGAUUUCCUAGUUAUCUUUCUGUUAUUUAUUUCCAGUUUGAUUUUAUUGUGGUCUGAGAGUAGCCUUUGUAUGAGAUUGAUUGAUUGAUUGAUUGAUUGAUUGAUUUCGUAUUUUGUCUUUUUAGGGCUGCACCCACAGCAUGUGGAUAUUCCCAGGCUAGGGGUCCAAUCAGAGCUGUAGCUGCUGGCCUAAGUCACAGCCAGAGAAAUGUAGGAUCUGAGCCAUGUCUGCGACCUACACCACAGCUCAUGGCAAUGCCAGAUCCUUAACCACUGAGUGAGGCCAGGGAUCGAACCCACAACCUCAUGGUUCCUAGUUGGAUUCAUUUCCACUGAGCCACGAUGGGAACUCUUAGUUCUAUUCUUUUAAAUUUGUUAAGCUGUGUCUUAUGGCAGAGAAUAUGUGUUGGUGAAUGUUCCAUGUGAGCUUGAGGAGAAUGUGUAUCAUGCUGUUGUUGGAUGAAAUGGUCUGUAGAUGUUAAUUUUUUUUUCAGUGAUUGAGGGUAGUCUUGAGUUCAAAUGUGUCCUUACUGAUAUUCUUCCUUCUGGGUCUUUCUGUUUCUAAUAGAUGGGUUUAAAGUCUCUUACCAUAAUAGAGAUUCCUCUAUUUCUCCUUGCAGUUCUAACAGUUUUGCCUUAUGUGUUUGGAUGCUCUGUUGUUAGGUGCAUACACAUUAAGGAUUGUUAUAUCUUCUUGGAGAACUGACUUCUUUAUCAUUAUAUAAUUCCCCUCUGCUUCCAUGGUAAUUUUUCUUGCUCUGACGUCAGCUCUGUCUGAAAUUAAUAUAGCUACUGCUUUCUUUUGGUUAGUAUAUAAUCAUGGUAUAUCUAUCUCUAUCCCUUUAGUUUUUAAAAGUUUUAGCUUUUUAUUAAAAUUUUUAAAAUAAUUAUAUUUAAAAUAAAAAAAAUUCACUUUAUCUUACCCUUUAAAUCUAUUUUGAUUUGUUGAAGAUAACAUAGAGUUGGGUCUUAUUUUUUGAUUCACUGUCUUUCAGUUGGUAUAUUUAGACCAUUGUUGUUUAAAGAGAUUGUUUAUAUAGUUGGACUAAUGCUUACCAAGUGUUACAGUUUUCUAUUUAUAGGCCUUGUUCUUUGUUCUAUUUUUGUUUUCUACUCUUUUUCUGCCUUUUGUGGGUUUUAAUUGAUCAUUUUAUAUGAUUCUGCUUUCUCUCCUUUCAUAGAAUAUCAAUUAUACCUCUCUUUUUACCUUUUUAAAGUGGUUGUCCUAGAGUCUUCAGUAUACAUUUAUAGCUAAUAAAAGUUCACUUUCACAUAACACUAUAUUGCUACAUGUGUAGUGCCAGCACCUUAUAAUGAAAUAUUCCUAGUUUCUCCCUUUCAUUUCUUGUAUCAUUACUAUCAUUCGUUUCACUUAUACAUUAGCAUAAAUAUAAAUCUACAUAUACAUAUACACAAUCUAAUAUUUUGUUGCUGUUAUCUGUUAGAUAAUUUAAGAAUAAGAGAAGUAAAUAUGUUAUUUUACCUUCACUUAUUUAUUCUCCAGUGCUCUUCCACUCUUUAUGUAGUUCUAUACUUCUGACCUGUAUCAUUUUCCUUCUCUCUGAAGAACUUUUUUUAACAUUUCUUUCAAGGUAGGCCUACUGCCACAAAUUCCCUCAAGGUUUGUUUGUCUGAGAAAAUCUUUCUUUUUUUUUUAUUACAGUUGAUUUACAAUGUUUCUUUAAUCUCUGCUGUGCAGCAAAGUGAUCCAGUCACUCACAGUUCCCUGUGCUGUACAGUAGGGCCCCACAGCCCAUCCAUUCCAAAUGUAACAGUUUGCAUCCCCAAACCCCAAACUACCCCAUCUGACCUGAUACACUCCCCCUCCAUACUGGGAACCACAAGUCUGUUUUCCUUGGCUGUGAUCUGUUUCUGUUUAGCAGAUAGGAUCAUCUGUGCCAUAUUUUAGAUCCCACAAAUAAGUGAUAAUCAUAAGGUAUUUGUCUUUUUCUUUCUGACUUACUCCACUUAGUGUAAGAAUCUCUAGUUCCACCCAUGUUGCUAUAAGUUGGCAUUAAUUUAUCUUUUUUAUGACUAGUAAUAUUCAAUUGUAUAUAUGUACCAUAUCUUCUUAAUCCAUUCAUCUGUCUGUGGACAUUUAGGUUGUUUCCAUGUCUUUGCUACUGUGAAUAGUGCUGUGAUGAACAUAGGGGUGCAAAUUGGAGCCAUAGCUGCUGGCGUACACCAUAGCCACAUCAACAUGGGAUGCAAGCCAUGUCUGCAACUUACACCACAGCUCACAGCAACACUGGAUCCUUAACCCACUGAGUGGGGCUGGGGAUUGAACUCACAUCCUCAUGGAUAUCAGUUGGAUUUGGUUCUGCUGUGGGAAUAGGAACUCUGUCAUGAAUCUUUUUGAAUGAAUAUUUUGUCAGAUAUAUGCCCAGGAGUGGGACUGCUGGAUCAUAUCAUAUGGUAGUUCUAUAUUUAGUUUUCUGAGAUACUUCCACACUGUUUCCCAUAGUGGUUGUACUAAUUUACAUUCCCACCAACAGUGAAGGAGGGUCCCCUUUUCACCAAACCCUCUUCAGCAUUUUUAAUUUGUAGACUUAUUAAUAAUAGUUACUCUGGGAGUUCCAAUUGUGGAGCAGUGGAAACAUAUCCAACUAGUAUCCAUGAGGAUGUGGGUUCAAUCUCUUGCCUUGCUCAGUGGGUUAAGGAUCUGGGGUUGCUGUGAGCUGUGGUGUAGGUUACAGAUGCGUCUCGGAUCCCAUGUUGCUGUGGCUGUGGCUGUGGCCAGCAGCUAUAGCUCUGAUUCAGUCCCUAGGCUGGGAACUUCCAUAUGCUACAGGUGCAGUU
rnacentral:lncRNA from 1 species